GUGCUAUCUCUCAUACUUAUCCCCUUCAAAACUGAAAGGGGGAAAAUUCUGUCCUCAGUGUAGUUUGGUGAAUGCUUCCCGGUAUCCACAUAUUGAAUGAAGAGAAGAAGGGAGACUAAAAUUAUUAUUUUGAUAGUCAUUAAAUGCCUGAAAGGAGGAGAAGUAUUGUACAAACCACCCGUCUGGAGCUUGAUCCUACAUUGAGUCUGUUCUGUAACCCAAGGAAACUAAAAGGCUGUCUUGGAUGCCCUUGGAAAUUUCCUGAGCUUGAGAGACCUCUUCACAACACAACAGGUAACUAGUCCAGUCCUGCCUGGUCUUCCGUACAUUGCAGAAGAGCUGAGGAAGUGGGACAAUGGCCAGGAUGCUGUGGCAGUUUCUAAAACUGAGUAACAUAGUCCCAAAAUAUCCACAGAGCUGUAUUGGGGUAAGAUGGUCUCAAAGUUCAGAGAAUGAUAGAAAUGUCUAAUUGUGUACGCUCAGUACCUGUCAAACCACUUCCUUAGAUUUUGUAGAAUGAGGUAGCUCCCCUCAUCAAAGUCUUAGUAAAACCAGACCUAUCUUUGAAAGAUCUCUGAAAACUGGAGAAAAAUUGACGUUUCUUCUACUGCAGCUUUAACUAAUUUGGAUUCAGCUCUGUUGUCUUUGAUGGAUAGGCAGGUUCUUACCCUGUGGCCCAUGUCUGGCCACUUGAGUUUGACUGAAAAUGAGGAGUUUUAUCUUCAUUAUGAAGAUGAGUUAAAAUGUGGAAUGCUAUCAGACCAGACUCCAUCAGCAGUUUGAAGGGAAGAGCUUUCUUUUGCUCUGAUAUAGGAAUGAGGCCUUUUCUUGCAGUAGGCAGGGAAAGGACCCAAAAUCUGGAUGUCUCCUUGAUGUGCCAGGCACAUAGAUCCUGAUUUUGAGAUGUCCUGGGUACCACUUGGAAUAGGUGAUUCAAGCUGAUGAUUUCUCUGUGUAGCUGGUGCAUUGAAAGGAAGGUCCAUGUGCACAUCUGGAAUGAAAACAAAACAAAACUGUGGAGCACCCGUUUAUAUUUCCAUAGUUCACUGGUUCUUUGUACUUCAGAAUUCCCUUUUCUUUCCAGGUUCUAGUGCUUCAAGGAAUAUGCUGGUAUAUUGUUAACUUUGUGGAGAUAGCUUUUCUUUCUGUUGUUUUGAACUGGGUUUUUUUUGUGUUUUUG
rnacentral:lncRNA from 1 species